rnacentral:rRNA from 1 species
AUACGGAGGAUGCGAGCGUUAUCCGGAUUUAUUGGGUUUAAAGGGUGCGUAGGCUGUGCGUUAAGUCAGGGGUGAAAUGCCGUCGCUCAACGACGGAGCUGCCCUUGAUACUGCGUGCUGGAGUACGGAUGCCGUUGGAGGAAUGAGUGGUGUAGCGGUGAAAUGCUUAGAUAUCACUCAGAACACCGAUUGCGAAGGCAUCUGACGAAUCCGUCACUGACGCUGAGGCACGAAAGCGUGGGGAUAGAACAGGAUUAGAUACCCUGGUAUUCCACGCCGUAAACGAUGAUGACUAACCGUCGGCGAUAGACAGCCGGUGGCCAAGCGAAAGCGAUAAGUCAUCCACCUGGGGAGUACGUCGGCAACGAUGAAACUCAAAUGAAUUGGCGGGG